rnacentral:rRNA from 1 species
AGAGUUUGAUCCUGGCUCAGGAUGAACGCUAGCUACAGGCUUAACACAUGCAAGUCGAGGGGAAACGAUAGAGAAAGCUUGCUUUUUCUAGGCGUCGACCGGCGCACGGGUGAGUAACGCGUAUCCAACCUGCCCACCACUUGGGGAUAACCUUGCGAAAGUAAGACUAAUACCCAAUGAUAUCUCUAGAAGACAUCUGAAGGAGAUUAAAGAUUUAUCGGUGAUGGAUGGGGAUGCGUCUGAUUAGCUUGUUGGCGGGGUAACGGCCCACCAAGGCGACGAUCAGUAGGGGUUCUGAGAGGAAGGUCCCCCACAUUGGAACUGAGACACGGUCCAAACUCCUACGGGAGGCAGCAGUGAGGAAUAUUGGUCAAUGGGCGAGAGCCUGAACCAGCCAAGUAGCGUGCAGGAUGACGGCCCUAUGGGUUGUAAACUGCUUUUAUAAGGGAAUAAAGUGAGCCUCGUGAGGCUUUUUGCAUGUACCUUAUGAAUAAGGACCGGCUAAUUCCGUGCCAGCAGCCGCGGUAAUACGGAAGGUCCGGGCGUUAUCCGGAUUUAUUGGGUUUAAAGGGAGCGUAGGCCGGAGAUUAAGCGUGUUGUGAAAUGUAGAUGCUCAACGUCUGCACUGCAGCGCGAACUGGUUUCCUUGAGUACGCACAAAGUGGGCGGAAUUCGUGGUGUAGCGGUGAAAUGCUUAGAUAUCACGAAGAACUCCGAUUGCGAAGGCAGCUCACUGGAGCGCAACUGACGCUGAAGCUCGAAAGUGCGGGUAUCGAACAGGAUUAGAUACCCUGGUAGUCCGCACGGUAAACGAUGGAUGCCCGCUGUUGGUCUGAAUAGGUCAGCGGCCAAGCGAAAGCAUUAAGCAUCCCACCUGAGGAGUACGCCGGCAACGGUGAAACUCAAAUGAAUUGACGG